AGCAGCUUUAUUCUCAUUUGGAAAUUUCCAUGAAAUUGGAUCUGUUCUACAGCCACCCGUAUCCAUUCUACAUUACAAUUGGGCAGCUUGGAAGCUACAACCAGAACUUGAUGGAUCAAGAAUUGGCAGCCUCUGCUUGCCAUCCCACCUAUAUGGACCAAGAAACUGGGAAGUCAAACUGAAGUGCACCUUUCCAAGAGGCAGAAGAAGAAAAGAGGAACUAAAAUGAAUUCUAUAGUGAACUAUGGGUCUGAAGCAUGGAGAAAGUGGAUCUGGGUAGAUAAUAGAAAACGAUGCUGCA